rnacentral:rRNA from 1 species
UACUAACUCUGGCGGCGUGCUUAACACAUGCAAGUCGAACGGAAAGGCCCUGCUUUUGUGGGGUGCUCGAGUGGCGAACGGGUGAGUAACACGUGAGUAACCUGCCCUUGACUUUGGGAUAACUUCAGGAAACUGGGGCUAAUACCGGAUAGGAGCUCCUGCUGCAUGGUGGGGGUUGGAAAGUUUCGGCGGUUGGGGAUGGACUCGCGGCUUAUCAGCUUGUUGGUGGGGUAGUGGCUUACCAAGGCUUUGACGGGUAGCCGGCCUGAGAGGGUGACCGGCCACAUUGGGACUGAGAUACGGCCCAGACUCCUACGGGAGGCAGCAGUGGGGAAUAUUGCACAAUGGGCGGAAGCCUGAUGCAGCAACGCCGCGUGUGGGAUGACGGCCUUCGGGUUGUAAACCGCUUUCGCCUGUGACGAAGCGUGAGUGACGGUAAUGGGUAAAGAAGCACCGGCUAACUACGUG